AUCAACUUUCGAUGGUAGGAUAGAGGCCUACCAUGGUGGUAACGGGUAACGGGGUGUUAGGGCACGACACCGGAGAGGGAGCCUGAGAAACGGCUACCACAUCCAAGGAUGGCAGCAGGCGCGCAAAUUACCCAAUCCCGACACGGGGAGGUAGUGACAAUAAAUAACAAUACGGGGUUCUUUAGGAUCUCGUAAUUGGAAUGAGUACAAUUUAAAUCUCUUAACGAGGAACAAUUGGAGGGCAAGUCUGGUGCCAGCAGCCGCGGUAAUUCCAGCUCCAAUAGCGUAUAUUAAAGUUGUUGCAGUUAAAAAGCUCGUAGUUGAAUGUCGGGGUUAGUAGGUUGGUCAUGCCUCUGGUAUGUACUGGUCUCACUGAUUCCUCCUUCCUGAUGAACCGUAAUGCCAUUAAUUUGGUGUUGCGGGGAAUUUGGACUGUUACUUUGAAAAAAUUAGAGUGUUUAAAGCAAGCUAACGCUUGAAUACAUUAGCAUGGAAUAAUGAAAUAGGACGUUCGAUCCUAUUUUGUUGGUUUCUAGGAUUGACGUAAUGAUUAAUAGGGAUAGUUGGGGGCAUUAGUAUUCAAUUGUCAGAGGUGAAAUUCUUGGAUUUAUUGAAGACUAACUACUGCGAAAGCAUUUGCCAAGGAUGUUUUCAUUAAUCAAGAACGAAAGUUAGGGGAUCGAAGACGAUCAGAUACCGUCGUAGUCUUAACCAUAAACUAUGCCGACUAGGGAUCGGAUGAUGUUAAUUUUUUAAUGACUCAUUCGGCGCCUUACGGGAAACCAAAGUGUUUGGGUUC
rnacentral:rRNA from 1 species